rnacentral:rRNA from 1 species
CAGUCGCCACGGUAAUACGUAGGUGGCAAGCGUUGUCCGGAAUUAUUGGGCGUAAAGGGCUCGCAGGCGGUUUCUUAAGCCUGAUGUGAAAGCCCCGGCUCAACCGGGGAGGGUCAUUGGAAACUGGGAAACUUGAGUGCAGAAGAGGAGAGUGGAAUUCCACGUGUAGCGGUGAAAUGCGUAGAGAUGUGGAGGAACACCAGUGGCGAAGGCGACUCUCUGGUCUGUAACUGACGCUGAGGAGCGAAAGCGUGGGGAGCGAACAGGAUUAGAUACCCGUGUAGUCCCUGUCUCUUAUACA